UGGGGCAUGGUGUAAUGGCAGCACAUAUCACUUUGGAUGAUAUAGACCAGAUUCGAAUUCUGGUGCCCCAA
rnacentral:tRNA from 1 species